UACGUAGGGUGCGAGCGUUGUCCGGAUUUAUUGGGCGUAAAGAGCUCGUAGGCGGCUCGUCGCGUCAGCUGUGAAAACCCGCAGCUUAACUGUGGGCUUGCAGCUGAUACGGGCGGGCUAGAGUUCGGUAGGGGAGACUGGAAUUCCUGGUGUAGCGGUGAAAUGCGCAGAUAUCAGGAGGAACACCGGUGGCGAAGGCGGGUCUCUGGGCCGAUACUGACGCUGAGGAGCGAAAGCGUGGGGAGCGAACAGG
rnacentral:rRNA from 1 species